rnacentral:rRNA from 1 species
GUGGGGAAUUUUGGACAAUGGGGGAAACCCUGAUCCAGCGACGCCGCGUGAAGGAUGAAGGCCUUCGGGUUGUAAACUUCUUUUGGAGGGGACGAAUAAAUUGACGGUAUCCUCAGAAAAAGCCACGGCUAACUACGUGCCAGCAGCCGCGGUAAUACGUAGGUGGCGAGCGUUACUCGGAAUUACUAGGCGUAAAGCGUAUGUAGGCGGUUGUAUAAGUCUAUGGUGAAAUAUCCUGGCUCAACUGGGAAGGGACAUAGAUACUGUAUGGCUUGAGUGUUGGAAGGGGAGACGGAAUUCCUGGUGUAGCGAUGAAAUGCGUAGAUAUCCGGAGGAACACCUAUUGCGAAAGCAGUCUCCUGGCCAAAUACUGACGCUGCGGUACGAAAGCUAGGGUAGCAAACAGGAUUAGAUACCCGAGUAGUCC